CCUGGCGGCACUAGCGCGGUGGUCCCACCUGACCCCGUGCCGAACUCAGAAGUGAAACGCCGUAGCGCCGAUGGUAGUGUGGGGUCUCCCCAUGCGAGAGUAGGGAACUGCCAGGC
rnacentral:rRNA from 1 species